AUUUUAAAAUAAAAACCAACAACGUUUUGACAAGUCGACAUUGAAGAUAUCGUAUUUUUGAAAAACGGAUGUAAUACACCGAAGAGCACUGCAUGCGAGGUGACACAAUGUCGCUCGAUAAAUGCUAAAGCGACUCCGAAUGCAACGUUUGAAUUCCAGUGGGAUCCUGCCACAAUACUACGCGUCAGACAGGAGUACGCCACCUUAACAUUCAGCAACAAAACUUUGUGAAAGAGUCAUUAGUUCGGAAAAAUCAAAUCCUAAUAGAGAAGUAUCGAUUUUUCCUCCCCUUGGACGGAUUUAGAACGUUCUUUCUAUCCUAUUGCGUGCGGUGUAAUAUGUAUUGUUUCCUUCUACUGAUUAUGUGUAUAAGUGUUAAAUGUUACAGACGUAACCAUCAAAUUCUGUUCUUUAUGUAAGUUUUUGUAAUUUUAUAAAUUCUAACUGUAAUAUCUUUUUAUUCAAUUUGUCAGCUAUGACAUUCGGCUUAAACUCAAACGUGCUCCGUUACACGGUAUAUUAUUUUUGAAAAAAAAGGUCUUUGUGCAUCACGUCACAGCUGUGAAUUUGUGGUAGCUAUCAAACAGUCUUGGUCAGAGGUCCAUGACGGCGCGCGAGAGUGGGGUGGGGGUAGAGUGGGUGGGGUUGAACACCAAUAGCCAGUAUAAAUAAAACAUACUCUCAAACUGAUAUGCUUAUUAGGCAAAAGGCAAGCAUUAUGACAUACACUUUAUUUCAAAAUAUUUCUACUUUUUGAGUACAUACCACUUACACUCGACAUUAUAUAUAUAUAUAUAUAUAUAUAUAUAUAUAUAUAUAUAUAUAGUCUUCCUGUAAACAAUCCCAGGAAGACAAUGAUUUUUAUUGAUAUAUAUAUACAAUGUAUAUUUAAAACGUCGAGUGUCUGUGGUUUAUACAGAUCACAGAAAAUAUAGUAUUUGUGAGAGUUAUCUUGGUAAAUAAAAUGUAUGCAGCCAAAUUCCUCCUAAUGGUUCUGUGAACAAUAUGUGUGUUACAACUUACUUACAAUAACUGAGGUUAUUUAAUAAGUAAAAUACGUAACAAUUAACAUACAACAACUGUGGUUAUUUACUUAGUAUGAUUUUUCAACAAAAACUGAACUAUAAAGUAAAAUUUGUUAAGGUACCUCUAUGUGACAUCAUAAGUUCUUUUUUGCAAAAUCUUUAAUUCGUUAAACUUUGAUUAAAAAUUUAUCUUUUGUAAGAAUUUUAUUCACUGGGUACAAUAAAAAAAAACAACAACUAGUAAACUAUAUGAUACUGAAAAAGUUUACAUUUUCUAUAAAUAUUUAAUGAUCAUUAUUUAUAUUACAAUCUGUCGCCAAGGGCAAUAACUCGUGCUAUUAUUUUCUCUAUUGUAUGUCUACAAUGAUUUUCCUGAUAUCCACAAUUAAUUUAUAUGUAUUUAUAAAUUAUGAAUUCUUUUUAAACUGCUAAUAUUAAAACCGUGUCAUUUUAACUUUAUGUACUUUUUAUUACGCUGUUUAACGAAAAUGUGCGAUUUUCUUAUGUUACUAUAUAUACUUCUGUUUAUGCACAUAUAUGUCUAAUAUCUUUAGAAAGGGGGCAACAUAUAGACUUUAGGGGGGGGGGGGUUAUUGAUUGAAUAAAACUUAAUUAAAUGGAAAUUAAUACAUUAUUUUUAUAGUUUGAACCCAUAAUAAGCUACCUUAAUCGAUAUAAGAAGAUGCCAAAGCUGUCAAAUUGUUUAUAAAAAGUUAUUUACAUGUAUAUUGUGAACUGCAGAAUGAAACACAUUGUGUCUAGAAAAUAAUGGAUGACAGAAAUACUAAUAGGAUAGAAACAAUUUUUUCAAGACGAACUUAUACAUUAGUAUUGAAACAAAUUAUCUGUACAGGAAUAAGAGGACAAUAUUAAGCCUUUUUGUUUUUUUGUUUAGAUUUGAAUAUGGGAAAUCAGGCGUAAGGCAUACUGCCAAAUUGUGCAUGCCCAUUUCAUAUUCCUUGCUAGAAGUACUGCACAUAUUGCUAUUAUACACCAGUGGCUAUACUGAGGCUUAUUUACCUAAAACCUUUAUUGUAACAUAGAUUCUACAAAUGUUAACACGAUAUGAACAGAAUAAAUCUUUACACUAGCUAGAUAUGCAUACGUGGUUAACGGUAUAUGUAAUACCGGAUCUAGGGGGGGGGGGGGAGGGGGGAGGGGGGGGGAGGUUACGGAAGUUGCAACCUAACCCCAAACUUUGAUUGAAAAUUUUAAAGAAAAAGUGGUCUUUUUUUGGCCAUAUUUUUUUUCCAAUCUCCUUUUUUGGGACGGAAAAGGGACAAACUUGGGUCGCAACCAACUCCUCAUCUCCGCCUUUGAAAAUUUUCUGGAUCCGCCCCUGCAGUCUGAAGUGCGAAUUGUGAUAUGAGAAAAUAUAAUAUCUGUUUAUAGUUAGAGUUAUCUUUCUUUGUUUAUUGAGCGAGUAUUUGCUUGCAUCUGUACACUUGCUGACUUGUGUUGAUUUGUGUUAUUUCCAGUGAAUUAUCUCUAGCCUUAUUGACGAUUGUGUUAUAAGCAAUUAGAACAUAUAUGUACUAUUUGUAUGAAAUGCAUUUCUUGCAUCAUUUCAAUUGCUCUAGUCAUAUCAGAAUGUCAGAAUUUACGGUGUAUGCGAAUGUUACAUAGAAAUGUUGUUUAUGUUUCAAUCUUUUACCACAUAGAUCUGUACACGUUGCUAUAUCAAAACUCAACUUUAUGCAAAUAAAGAAGUUUGCAAAGUAA